CGGGUUGUAAAGCACUUUCAGUAGGGAGGAAGGUAGUGUAGUUAACACCUGCACUAUUUGACGUUACCUACAGAAGAAGCACCGGCUAACUCCGUGCCAGCAGCCGCGGUAAUACGGAGGGUGUGAGCGUUAAUCGGAAUUACUGGGCGUAAAGCGCAUGCAGGCGGCCUGUUAAGUCAGAUGUGAAAGACCCGGGGCGUUAACCUCGGAAUUGCAUUUGAAACUAGGCAGGCUAGAGUCUUGUAGAGGGGGGUAGGAAGUUUCUAGGUGUAGCGGUGAAAUAGCGUAGAGAUCUGAAGGAAUACCAGUGGCGAAGGCGGCCCCCUCGGACAAAGACUGACGCUCAGAUGCGAAAGCGUGGGGAGCAAACAGGAUUAGAUACCCCUGGUAG
rnacentral:rRNA from 1 species